GAUGAACGCUGGCGGCGUGCCUAAUACAUGCAAGUCGAGCGGACGGACCAGGAUCUUGCGUCUCGCUUGUUAGCGGCGCGCGUGAGAGUAACGCGUGUAUAAUCUACCUAUAAUACUGGUAUAACUUCGGGAAACCGUAUCUAAUACGGGAGAAGAUUUUGAACCGCAGGGGUCGAAAGUAAAAUACGGUGGUGCGGGCACGUAUAGAUGGAUCCGCGCUGCAUUAUCUAGUUGGUAAGGUAACGGCUUACCAAGGCAACGAUGCAUAGGCGAGGUGAGGGGGUGAUCGGCCACACUGGAACGGGGACAGGCUCAAGAGUCCUACGGGAGGCAGCAGUAGCCAAUGUGACGCAACGGGCGGAAGCAUGACGCAGCAAGGCCGAGUGAGUGAUGACGGUCUUGCGAUCGUAAAAAUCUGUUAUUAGUGAAGAACAUAUGUGUAAGUAAAUGUGCACAUCUUGACGGUAACGAAUAAGAAAGCAACGGCUAACUACGUG
rnacentral:rRNA from 1 species